rnacentral:lncRNA from 1 species
UUGAUAUUUAUUAAGUAGUUAGAUUGAAGGUUUUGAAAUAUUUUGUGGAUUAUGGUCAUAAAUAACUGAAAUUUAGGAUUGAUGAGGGUUUUCAUGAUCUUGCAAUAUAUGUCAAUUAAAAUGAAUUAAAAAUUUGUGAGAGCCAUUUAGAUUUAGAAUUAUAUAUGUAUCAAUCAAAUUUUAAAGUAAUUGAGUAGUUUAACAAAGAAAAAUUAAUGUUGGAAGAUCAAUAUUCAAGUUAAAGAAGGAAGGGGGCCAAUAUUCAAGAGAUUUUGAAAGCUCUUCUUUCAAUUGAUGAAUUGGAUUCUUUUCAAAAAUUUUGUGCUUGUUAAUUACGUGAGAAUUGAAAUUUGAGUGAAAUUUUAGUGAAGAUUAAUAAUUCAAUAAAUAUUUAUUAUGGAUUUAAAAUAGCUAUAAUAAUUGAUUAAUAUUAAUUGAAGAUUUUAUUGGAGUUGUUUAGAAUUUGAUUACGGUUUGGAAUUUAAUUAAGAUUUGAUUAGGAUUUAGGAUUUAAACAGGCUUUAUUUAGAAUUUGAUUAGGAUUUCAUUAGGAUUUAAUUAAAGUUUGGUUUAAGAUUUAGGAUUUUAUUAGGAUUUUAUUAGAGUUUAUUUAUAAUUAUUAGAUUUUUAAAAUUUUGAUUUUAUUAGGAUUUAUAAGAGAUUAAUUUAUAAUUUUUAUG